rnacentral:lncRNA from 1 species
AUGAAAAGGUUUACUGUAGGAGAGAAUUGCAGCCGAGGGUCUCUAAAAUGGAAAGGGAACAUCCAAGACCCUCGCUCGCGGAUGUAUAUAUUUUAUUCUUCAGAUACUCCAAUGCGAUAUCCCUCCCCUUGCACGGGACCGGGGAGGGGGAGACCCCAACUCUACUUUGGGCAGCUGGAGCCGUUGGCGAAUUCCAGAUACCUGAGAGAUCAAUGGGGCAGUUGGGAGUGGGGGGAGGAGAUCUGAUGUAAAGUAUCUGUUGCAUACAGUUGGCUUCCAAUUAGAUAACUUUUUGACCACCAAAAACACC